UCGUCGUUGUUGAAGCGAGGAAGGCAAGAAGAUAAGCAUACGUCCGACAUUGAGAACAGCAGUUUCAUGAAACAAAAUUAUUGUAUGGCUACAUCGGAAUUAGCUGGGCCUGCUCCUCUACAUAACCCUUUGUGACACGCACAACAUUUGUAACACUUCCAAGUUUGUUGGACGCCUUCAGAUGAGUCCAGUUCAAAUCUCUGGGGUCAGACCCCAAGACAGUGCCC